rnacentral:rRNA from 1 species
AACAAACGCUGGCGGCGUGCCUAAUACAUGCAAGUCGAACGGGGAAAGCUUUCGGGUGAGUACUAGUGGCGCACGGGUGAGUAACGCGUGGAUAAUCUGCCUUAGAGUGGGGGAUAACUAGUCGAAAGAUUAGCUAAUACCGCAUAAGACCACAAGAACUGCGGUUCAAGGGGUCAAAGGUUUUUCGCUCUAAGAUGAGUCCGCGUAAGAUUAGCUAGUUGGUAGGGUAACGGCCUACCAAGGCGACGAUCUUUAACUGGUCUGAGAGGAUGAGCAGACACACUGGAACUGAGACACGGUCCAGACUCCUACGGGAGGCAGCAGUAGGGAAUAUUGCACAAUGGAGGAAACUCUGAUGCAGCGACGCCGCGUGAGUGAUGAAGGCCUUCGGGUCGUAAAGCUCUGUCGCAGGGGAAUAACACAAUGAAGGUACCCUGUAAGAAAGGAUCGGCUAACUUCGUGCCAGCCGCCACGGUAAAAC